UCCUACGGGGGGCUGCAGUGGGGAAUAUUGGACAAUGGGGGCAACCCUGAUCCAGCCAUGCCGCGUGAGUGAAGAAGGCCCUAGGGUUGUAAAGCUCUUUCGCACGCGACGAUGAUGACGGUAGCGUGAGAAGAAGCCCCGGCUAACUUCGUGCCAGCAGCCGCGGUAAUACGAAGGGGGCAAGCGUUGUUCGGAUUUACUGGGCGUAAAGGGCGCGUAGGCGGAUGUUCAAGUCAGAGGUGAAAGCCCUGGGCUCAACCCGGGAACUGCCUUUGAAACUGGACAUCUUGAGUAUGGGAGAGGGUGGCGGAAUACCCAGUGUAGAGGUGAAAUUCGUAGAUAUUGGGUAGAACACCAGUGGCGAAGGCGGCCACCUGGCCCAUAACUGACGCUGAGGCGCGAAAGCGUGGGGAGCAAACAGGAUUAGAUACCCGUGUAGUCG
rnacentral:rRNA from 1 species